AAAGCCUCUAAGCAUCAGGUAACAUCAAAUCGUACCCCAAACCGACACAGGUGGUCAGGUAGAGAAUACCAAGCGCUUGAGAGAACUCGGGUGAAGGAACUAGGCAAAAUGGUGCCGUAACUUCGGGAGAAGGCACGCUGGUGUGUAGGUGAAGUCCCUGCGGAUGGAGCUGAGACCAGUCGAAGAUACCAGCUGGCUGCAACUGUUUAUUAAAAACACAGCACUGUGCAAACACGAAAGUGGACGUAUACGGUGUGACGCCUGCCCG
rnacentral:rRNA from 1 species